AGAACAAACAUGAUAAAUUUUGGCUAAGUGGAAAGAAAGAAAAAACAUGAUUAUUAUAGAAUUAUAUAUAAGAAAAGCGAAGAUAAAAUGAGAGAUAUUAAGAAGUUAUUAUUAUUGGGAUUUUUUGUGUUUGUAUAUAUACGCAUUUUAAAAUAUACAGCUGAUUAUUUAAUGGAUAAUAGAAAUGUAUAAUGAGAGUUCUUCAUUAUGAUUAAAGUAGGGGAAUGAAAAAUUAUUAAAUUACCUAGACUGAGGGGAUAUACCACGUCAAUCCUAAAUAUAUUAGUUUUAUUUUAUUUUUACUCUUUUUAGAUUGUUUAUUAU